AUUAAAAUUAGUUAAAAAAAAAAACCAUUAUGCCUUGUUGUCCAGGCCCCGCAUCAAAAUCAAUAAGCAAACAUGAUUAUACUUACAUCUAGAAGUCAAAAUCUUCCCACUUGUUAACAAGAGAGUUAGUAUGUCUAGGAUAUGAGUAUACAUCCUAGAUGUCAAACUUGGGUAUAUCUAUAUAUAACCAACAAGGAUAUAUGAGGGUAAAGUGCUGAAGUUAAACUGUUGCAACAUUAAAUUUCUGUGUGGUUACAAGCUCUGAAAAAUUACUGCUUCUGCUUAAUUGUUUAUGUACUGGAACAUCUAUCCAGGUAAGUAAGUGGUGUUUGGCUUCUGGAGUUGACCACUUUUUAAGGUAGGGUCGCUAGAAUGCCUAUGAAGGAUUUGUUGAAUUAGCCUUAAGUAUUUUAGUUUAUAAAAUUGAAUUUUAUAAAUUCAGUGUGACUUAAUCUACGCUGAAAAUAGGCUGACUUUGUUCUGGUAAAUUUGUUUUUCAUUAUUACUGUUGUUGUAAUUUUUUUUAGGACUUCUCUGCAGGUGGCUCAAGAAAUUGAAACAGAA
rnacentral:misc_RNA from 1 species